rnacentral:misc_RNA from 1 species
UCCGGUUUGACACCGGCAGUCCCGCUAGAGUGCCCGGCGUGACCCGAUGGCAACUAAGGACGAGGGUUGCGCUCGUUGCGGGACUUAACCCAACACCUCACGGCACGAGCUGACGACAGCCAUGCAGCACCUGAACCGGCAGUCCCCGAAGGGAAAGUCCUAUUUCUAGGACGGUCCACCGUUGUCUAGCCCAGGUAAGGUUCUUCGCGUUGCGUCGAAUUGAACCACAUGCUCCACCGCUUGUGCGGGCCCCCGUCAAUUCCUUUGAGUUUCAGCCUUGCGGCCGUACUCCCCAGGCGGGGCACUUACUGCGUUAGCGACGGCACUCAGAGGGUCGCUCCCCCAAGCACCUAGUGCCCAUCGUUUACGGCGUGGACUAC